rnacentral:rRNA from 1 species
UGGGGAAUCUUGCACAAUGGGGGCAACCCUGAUGCAGCGACGCCGCGUGAGCGAUGAAGCCCUUCGGGGCGUAAAGCUCUUUCGACCGGAACGAUAAUGACGGUACCGGGAGAAGAAGCUGCGGCUAACUACGUGCCAGCAGCCGCGGUAAUACGUAGGCAGCAAGCGUUGUUCGGAGUUACUGGGCGUAAAGAGUGCGUAGGCGGUUUUCUAAGUUCGGUGUGAAAUCUCCCGGCUUAACUGGGAGGGUGCGCCGAAGACUGGGAAGGUGGAGUGUGGGAAAGGCAGGCGGAAUUCCUGGUGUAGCGGUGAAAUGCGUAGAUAACAGGAGGAACACCGGCGGUGUAGACGGCUUGCUAGACCAUAACUGACGCUGAGGCACGAAAGCGUGGGUAGCAAAC